UAAUAUGGAAUCGAGGAUCAUCUCAUUA
rnacentral:sRNA from 1 species